rnacentral:rRNA from 1 species
UGGAUUUUGCAGGAGGGCGCACGACCGGGCUUUGCUCAGGCCGCGCGCCGACCUGUUUUUCGUCGGGGACUACGCCACUCUUAACUGGGGGGCGCUAGGACGCGGCUCGUUUACUUUGAAAAAAUUAGAGUGUUCAAAGCAGGCCUUUGCUUGAAUACAUUAGCAUGGAAUAAUGGAAUAGGACUUUGGUUCUAUUUUGUUGGUUUCUGGAACCGUAGUAAUGAUUAAUAGGGAUAGUUGGGGGCGUUUAUAUUUCCAUGUCAGAGGUGAAAUUCUUGGAUUUUGGAAAGAUAAACUUCUGCGAAAGCAUUCGCCAAGGAUGUUUUCAUUAGUCAAGGACGAAAGUUAGGGGAUCGAAGACGAUCAGAUACCGUCGUAGUCUUAACCAUAAACUAUGCCGACUAGGGAUCAGUGGACGUUAUUUUAUGACUCCAUUGGCACCUUGUGAGAAAUCAAAGUUUUUG